AAUACGUUCCCGGGCCUUGUACACACCGCCCGUCACACCACGAAAGUCGGCAACACCCGAAGCCGGUGGCCUAACCCUUUUGGGAGGGAGCCGCCGAAGGUGGGGUUGGUGAUUGGGGUG
rnacentral:rRNA from 1 species